GGGGUCGAGGGAAGCAGUUAGACGGCGGCCGGGCGGCGGCUGCCGCGCGGCACACAAUAUUUAUUUAAUUGCCCAACUACCACUGAUGAAGAUAUAUUGGAGUGACUGCUGAAAUUGCCUUUUUGUUUUUAACCAGAGGACAGUCCAUUUGUUUCACUUCUUUUUGCUUUCCUUACUGCUAUGAGCUUUACUGUAACGGCUGAAAAACUUGGAAAAUAAAAUGGACAUGCUGUAGUCUUGAACAUAAUUUUUUUAAGGAAAACUUAAAGUGCCAGAGUGAAAGCCAGAAUGGCAUCCAGAGAGAGGCUCUUUGAACUUUGGAUGCUUUAUUGUACAAAGAAAGAUCCAGAUUACCUGAAGCUGUGGUUGGACACUUUUGUUUCUAGCUAUGAACAAUUUUUAGACGUUGACUUUGAAAAGCUGCCUACCAGGGUAGAUGAUAUGCCUCCAGGAAUAUCUCUGCUUCCUGAUAAUAUUCUGCAGGUUCUGAGGAUCCAGCUUCUACAGUGUGUUCAGAAAAUGGCAGAUGGGUUAGAGGAACAACAGCAAGCCUUGUCAAUUUUGCUUGUCAAGUUCUUCAUUAUUCUUUGCAGAAAUCUAUCAAAUGUGGAAGAAAUUGGGACUUGCUCGUACAUUAAUUAUGUCAUCACCAUGACAACACUCUAUAUUCAGCAAUUAAAAAGCAAAAAAAAAGAGAAGGAAAUGGCAGAUCAGACAUGUAUUGAAGAAUUUGUGAUCCACGCAUUGGCAUUUUGUGAAAGCUUAUAUGAUCCAUAUCGGAAUUGGAGACAUAGAAUUUCAGGAAGCCAAAUUCCUGAAGGUUUCCUGCGUCACAUCUCUAUAAGAGUUUCUUCUGGGAAAAAUCCAGCAACGCCCGCUCCUGAGGGGUGAAGGUUACAGCCACAUCCUCAAAAGUCACUGAGUCCAUGUUCCAGCUUCCAGCAUGCUCCGGCAUCCUGCCCAGGGAUCUUGCAGGGCCUGCAGGUCACAGGCAACAGAGGCUGCCCCAGAAC
rnacentral:sRNA from 1 species